UGGGGAAUAUUGCACAAUGGGCGCAAGCCUGAUGCAGCCAUGCCGCGUGUGUGAAGAAGGCCUUCGGGUUGUAAAGCACUUUCAGCGGGGAGGAAGGCGGUGAGGUUAAUAACCUCAUCGAUUGACGUUACCCGCAGAAGAAGCACCGGCUAACUCCGUGCCAGCAGCCGCGGUAAUACGGAGGGUGCAAGCGUUAAUCGGAAUUACUGGGCGUAAAGCGCACGCAGGCGGUCUGUCAAGUCGGAUGUGAAAUCCCCGGGCUCAACCUGGGAACUGCAUUCGAAACUGGCAGGCUAGAGUCUUGUAGAGGGGGGUAGAAUUCCAGGUGUAGCGGUGAAAAGCGUAGAGAUCUGGAGGAAUACCGGUGGCGAAGGCGGCCCCCUGGACAAAGACUGACGCUCAGGUGCGAAAGCGUGGGGAGCAAACAGG
rnacentral:rRNA from 1 species